UACGAAGGGGGCUAGCGUUGCUCGGAAUUACUGGGCGUAAAGCGCACGUAGGCGGAUUGUUAAGUCAGUUGUGAAAUCUCCGGGCUUAACUCGGAACGGUCAACUGAUACUGCGCGGCUAGAGUGCAGAAGGGGCAACUGGAAUUCUCGGUGUAGCGGUGAAAUGCGUAGAUAUCGAGAGGAACACCUGCGGCGAAGGCGGGUUGCUGGGCUGACACUGACGCUGAGGAGCGAAAGCGUGGGGAGCGAACAGG
rnacentral:rRNA from 1 species